rnacentral:rRNA from 1 species
AGCGAACGCUGGCGGCAGGCUUAACACAUGCAAGUCGAGCGGGCCCUUCGGGGUCAGCGGCGGACGGGUGAGUAACGCGUGGGAACGUGCCUUCUGGUCUGGAAUAACCCUGGGAAACUAGGGCUAAUACCGGAUACGCCCUUUUGGGGAAAGGUUUACUGCCGGAAGAUCGGCCCGCGUCUGAUUAGCUAGUUGGUGGGGUAACGGCCUACCAAGGCGGCGAUCAGUAGCCGGUCUGAGAGGAUGAUCAGCCACACUGGGACUGAGACACGGCCCAGACUCCUACGGGAGGCAGCAGUGGGGAAUAUUGGACAAUGGGCGCAAGCCUGAUCCAGCCAUGCCGCGUGAGUGAUGAAGGCCUUAGGGUUGUAAAGCUCUUUUAUCCGGGACGAUAAUGACGGUACCGGAGGAAUAAGCCCCGGCUAACUUCGUG